UUACUAUCGCGAGAAGAAAGACGCGCGAGCCUCGGCGGCCCGGAACCGGUCUUGGAACAACGGCGAAAUCUGAGGCCGCUUUCCCUCCCGCCCCAUGGAGCGGCCCCCGGGGCUGCGGCCGGGCGCGGGCGGGCCCUGGGAGAUGCGGGAGCGGCUGGGCACCGGCGGCUUCGGGAACGUCUGUCUGUACCAGCAUCGGGAACUUGAUCUCAAAAUAGCAAUUAAGUCUUGUCGCCUAGAGCUAAGUACCAAAAACAGAGAACGGUGGUGCCACGAAAUCCAGAUUAUGAAGAAGUUGAACCAUGCCAAUGUUGUAAAGGCCUGUGAUGUUCCUGAAGAAUUGAAUGUUUUGAUUCAUGAUGUGCCUCUUCUAGCAAUGGAAUACUGUUCUGGAGGAGAUCUCCGAAAGCUGCUCAACAAACCAGAAAAUUGUUGUGGACUUAAAGAAAGCCAGAUACUUUCUUUACUAAGUGAUAUAGGGUCUGGGAUUCGAUAUUUGCAUGAAAACAAAAUUAUACAUCGAGAUCUAAAACCUGAAAACAUAGUUCUUCAGGACGCUGGUGGAAAGAUAAUACAUAAAAUAAUUGAUCUAGGAUAUGCCAAAGAUGUUGAUCAAGGAAGUCUGUGUACAUCUUUUGUGGGAACACUGCAGUAUCUGGCCCCAGAGCUCUUUGAGAAUAAGCCUUACACAGCCACUGUUGAUUAUUGGAGCUUUGGGACCAUGGUAUUUGAAUGUAUUGCUGGAUAUAGGCCUUUUUUGCAUCAUCUGCAGCCAUUUACCUGGCAUGAGAAGAUUAAGAAGAAGGAUCCAAAGUGUAUAUUUGCAUGUGAAGAGAUGUCAGGAGAAGUUCGGUUUAGUAGCCAUUUACCUCAACCAAAUAGCCUUUGUAGUUUAAUAGUAGAACCCAUGGAAAACUGGCUACAGUUGAUGUUGAAUUGGGACCCUCAGCAGAGAGGAGGACCUGUUGACCUUACUUUGAAGCAGCCAAGAUGUUUUGUAUUAAUGGAUCACAUUUUGAAUUUGAAGAUAGUACACAUCCUAAAUAUGACUUCUGCAAAGAUAAUUUCUUUUCUGUUACCACCUGAUGAAAGUCUUCAUUCACUACAGUCUCGUAUUGAGCGUGAAACCGGAAUAAAUACUGGUUCUCAGGAGCUUCUUUCAGAGACAGGAAUUUCUCUGGAUCCUCGGAAACCAGCCUCUCAGUGUGUUCUAGAUGGAGUUAGAGGCUGUGAUAGCUAUAUGGUUUAUUUGUUUGAUAAAAGUAAAACUGUAUAUGAAGGGCCAUUUGCUUCCAGAAGUUUAUCUGAAUGUGUAAAUUAUAUCGUACGGGACAGUAAAAUACAGCUUCCAGUUAUACAGCUGCGUAAAGUAUGGGCUGAAGCUGUGCACUAUGUGUCUGGACUAAAAGAAGACUACAGCAGGCUCUUUCAGGGACAAAGAGCAGCAAUGUUAAGUCUUCUUAGAUAUAAUGCUAACUUAACAAAAAUGAAGAACACUUUAAUCUCAGCAUCACAACAACUGAAAGCUAAAUUGGAGUUUUUUCACAAAAGCAUUCAGCUUGACUUGGAGAGAUAUAGCGAGCAGAUGACUUAUGGGAUAUCUUCAGAAAAAAUGCUAAAAGCAUGGAAAGAAAUGGAAGAAAAGGCCAUCCACUAUGCUGAGGUUGGUGUCAUUGGAUACCUGGAGGAUCAGAUUAUGUCUUUGCAUGCUGAAAUCAUGGAGCUACAGAAGAGCCCCUAUGGAAGACGUCAGGGAGACUUGAUGGAAUCUCUGGAACAGCGUGCCAUUGAUCUAUAUAAGCAGUUAAAACACAGACCUUCAGAUCACUCCUACAGUGACAGCACAGAGAUGGUGAAAAUCAUUGUGCACACUGUGCAGAGUCAGGACCGUGUGCUCAAGGAGCUGUUUGGUCAUUUGAGCAAGUUGUUGGGCUGUAAGCAGAAGAUUAUUGAUCUACUCCCUAAGGUGGAAGUGGCCCUCAGUAACAUCAAAGAAGCUGACAAUACUGUAAUGUUCAUGCAGGGAAAAAGGCAGAAAGAAAUAUGGCAUCUCCUUAAAAUUGCCUGUACACAAAGUUCUGCCCGGUCCCUUGUGGGAUCCAGUCUAGAAGGUGCAGUAACCCCUCAGACAUCAGCAUGGCUGCCCCCAACUUCAACAGAACAUAAUCAUUCUUUGUCAUGUGUGGUAACUCCUCAAGAUGGGGAGACUUCAGCACAAAUGAUAGAAGAAAAUUUGAACUGCCUUGACCUUUUAAGCACUAUUAUUCAUGAGGCAAAUGAGGAGGAACAGGGCAGUAGUAUGAUGAGUCUUGAUUGGAGUUGGUUAACAGAAUGACUUGUCACUUCUUCACUGCGCCCAAACCUAUGGAAGUUGUCGUUAUACAUAUUGGAAAUGUGUUUUUCCCGCAUGAAACCAUUCUUCAGACAUCAGUCAAAGGAAGAAAUGGCUUUGAACAGAAACUACAUUUCUGCUAUGAUCAGAAGAACAUGAUUUUACAACUAGAACAUUUUUGAGUAAUUUAAGCCUCUAAACAGAUAGGAAUUUAUUUAAAAAAAAAAAAUCAGUAGACUUGUUUUAAUACCACAGCUAUUCAGGAGCAUCAUCAUGACACAUUUGUCUUUAAUCUUGGUAAAACAUGACUUAUUUAACUGUAAAAAUACCUUCUAUGUAUUAGUUUUAACUUUUAACUUUUGGGUGUAAGGCCAAAUGUAAUUUUGUAUACAGAGAAGAAAACUUCAACUAAUAGGCAUUUUAAAUAAAAUAAAUAAAUAUGUUUUUUCUAAAAAGGCUGCUCACAAGUAAAGUUACAUUUCUUGAAGAAUAAAUUCUACUUCCUUGUGUUGCACUCAACAGGUGCUCUUCCUGGCAUCAUAAGGAGUUGGUGUAAUCAUUUUAAAUUCUACAGAAAAUUUAACAGUAUCCCCUUCUCACUGAAGGGAGUGUGUAUCUGCCCCUAAUGUUAGCUCGCUUUCAUAAAUCAUGUUAUGUGUAUAUGUAUUUAAGAUGUACAUUUAAUAAUAUCAGAGACGAUGCCUGUUAAUUUAUAAUGUAUUUGAAAGCUACAUGUUUUUUCAUUUGUAAAAAUGAGUUAUUUGUUUAAACAAUCUUUCAUGUCUUGUUAUACAGAUUUAUAAAGGUCUGCACUCCUUUAUCUGUAAUUGUAAUUCCAAAAUCCAAAAAGCUCUGAAAACAAGGUUUCCAUAAGCUUGGUGACAAAACUCAUUUUCUUGCAAUCUACUCUGAACUGACCUUGAAUCUUUUUAUCCCAUUUAGUUAGCAGAAUGACUUGUCACUUGUUCACUGUCCCCAAACCUAUGGAAGUUGUUGCUAUAUAUGUUGGAAAUGUGUUUUUGCUGCUUGAUGAUUUGUGGGGGAGUGUGCUGCCAGUCUCUGAUGAGGGCUGGUUAAUGUAGUAUGGUAUACGCACAAAAUUACCUUUCUAAAAUCUAAAACUUCUUAAAUCUGAAACAUUUUGCCCCAAGGGUUUCAGAUAAAGGACUGUGGACCUCUAAGAAGAUAUUAUUUGUCUCAAAAAAUGUGAAAUGCUUUUAUAUUCUAACAGUUUUUCACCACUUUGUGUAUUAAAUGGUUUUUAAGUUA